rnacentral:rRNA from 1 species
AUUGAACGCUGGCGGCAGGCCUAACACAUGCAAGUCGGACGAGCGGCGGACGGGUGAGGAAUGUAUGGGGAUCUGCCUGAUGGAGGGGGCUAACUACAGGCAACGGUAGCUAAUACCACAUACCAUCAGAGGCACCCAUAUGGGAUUAGCUGUUAGGUAAGGUAACGGCUUACCUAGGCGCCUAUCCAUAGAUGGUCUGAGAGGAUGACCAGCCACACUGGGACUGCGACUCGCCCCCGACUCCUACGGGAGGCAGCAGUGGGGAAUAGUGCACAAUGGGCGCAAGCCUGAUGCAGCCAUGCCGCGUGUAUGAAGAAGUCCUUCGGGUUGUAAAGUACUUUCAGCCGGGAGGCGUGACCCACAGAAGAAGCACCGGCUAACUCCGUGCCAGCCGCCGCGGUAAUUC